rnacentral:rRNA from 1 species
UACGUAGGGUGCAAGCGUUAAUCGGAAUUACUGGGCGUAAAGCGUGCGCAGGCGGUUAUGCAAGACAGAUGUGAAAUCCCCGGGCUCAACCUGGGAACUGCAUUUGUGACUGCAUAGCUGGAGUGCGGCAGAGGGGGAUGGAAUUCCGCGUGUAGCAGUGAAAUGCGUAGAUAUGCGGAGGAACACCGACGGCGAAGGCAAUCCCCUGGGCCUGCACUGACGCUCAUGCACGAAAGCGUGGGGAGCAAACAGG